rnacentral:rRNA from 1 species
GAUGAACGCUGGCGGCGUGCUUAACACAUGCAAGUCGAACGAAGCACCUCUCCCGAAGAUUGACACAGCUUGCUGUAGAUUGAUUCAUUUGAGGUGACUGAGUGGCGGACGGGUGAGUAACGCGUGGGUAACCUGCCUCAUAGAGGGGGACAACAGUUGGAAACGACUGCUAAUACCGCAUAGUAAGAAGAAUUCGCAUGUUUUCUUCUUGAAAGAUUUAUCGCUAUGAGAUGGACCCGCGUCUGAUUAGCUAGUUGGCAAGGUAACGGCUUACCAAGGCGACGAUCAGUAGCCGGCAUGAGAGAGGGAACGGCCACAUUGGGACUGAGACACGGCCCAAACUCCGACGGGAGGCAGCAGUGGGGAAUAUUGCACAAUGGGGGAAACCCUGAUGCAGCGACGCCGCGUGAGUGAAGAAGUAUUUCGGUAUGUAAAGCUCUAUCAGCAGGGAAGAUAAUGACGGUACCUGACUAAGAAGCCCCGGCUAACUACGUG